GGUGAAGAGGAGCUGUCUUUCGGAGAUUGCGUCGACAUGUGCACGAAGACGAUACAGAUGGAGGGGAAGCCGCGACGCAGGAAGGUGUCGGAGCGUGAUUUCGCCGACGUUGUGUGAAGGAGAUGAAGAAAUGCACCCCGUGGCAAAAGCUCGAAUCCGGAUCCGCCAUUCACUGUCUGGAUACGAAGGUAUAAAAUAAUGUGCCCCGGAUAUCACAUCAUCACCGAUGACUCAUGCUAUCGAAGAGUGUUCGUUGUUGCGACUGGAUAAAGGUGAACACAUGGACAGGACGGAGGUGGACACACGGACAGGAUGGACACACGGACGGAAAUAGACGUGCAUAGAUUCAACCCAUUACGGCAGUGCGUCUGUCACAUGUCCGCAAGGAAAACACCGACGCAGUCUUCACAGGCGCCAUCUGUCGCCGAAAUUAUUAAUCAAAAUCGGUAUAUCUAUAUAAAUGCGGUGUGAAUGUUAUUAAUAUAUAAUUAUUACGGCGUAGCUACGAAUAGAGAGACUAUAGACGUUGAUGCGACCCAUCAACGCCCGCGUGUAUAUAGUAACGUAUUUAUUGCUGUUGUCAACGCGCGCGCGCAUGCGUGAAAGCACAGACACAAGGGACGAGGAGAAAAAAAUAUACAUGGAUACAAGAUGCACCAUCAUCUAGUCUGUACGUUCUACCAUGUUAGUCAUUGUUACGGCGUCACAUCGAAAAAAAUCCGAUUAAUAAAAAAAUAUCUCGUGGUCAGAGCAUCACACCUCAUUGCUUGACCAACCAAUAAUAUUAUCUAUUAAAUGAAAAUUAUCUCUUGGGCAGGGAAUGCUCUUUUAUUUUUAUUACGUAAGCCACAGACUAAUAUGUUUCAAUCUAUACUAUUACCACAUUCCCACGUAAACAGGUGUAAAGUCGUGUCCGUAAGCCGAGUACUCUUAUUUUCUCCACGUCACUUCCGUGCUGCCACGCGCGUGUCGUACGUACGUACGUACACACAUCAGGAGCGGGAAAACUCGCCCGCAACCCGCAUCGAACCAAAUACGUAUUAAUUCGUCAAGUCGUGCCAUCUUUCGAAGUGCGAAGAAGAGACGAGAUGUUAUGCGUUGUUAUUGCUAUUUAUUGUUCCAUUAUUACAGUUUGUACAGGAUAUUAAUUUAUGUCUUCUGACCGAUUUUCUUUUGUUAAUAAACGUUUUCGAUAUUGUAAAACAAA